UGAGGAAUAUUGGUCAAUGGGCGUGAGCCUGAACCAGCCAAGUAGCGUGCAGGAAGACGGCCCUAUGGGUUGUAAACUGCUUUUAUGCGGGGAUGAAGGAGUCCACGUGUGGAUUUUUGCAGGUACCGCAUGAAUAAGGACCGGCUAAUUCCGUGCCAGCAGCCGCGGUAAUACGGAAGGUCCGGGCGUUAUCCGGAUUUAUUGGGUUUAAAGGGAGCGUAGGCCGCGUUUUAAGCGUGUUGUGAAAUGUAGACGCCCAAAGUCUGCAUAGCAGCGCGAACUGGGACGCUUGAGUACGCGCAACGUUGGCGGAAUUCGUCGUGUAGCGGUGAAAUGCUUAGAUAUGACGAGGAAAUCCGAUUGCGAAGGCAGCUGACGGGAGCGGCACUGACGCUUAAGCUCGAAGGUGCGGGUAUCAAACAGG
rnacentral:rRNA from 1 species